CCUGUACCUAGGGACAUUGCAUGUGUGACUAUUUUGUCACUUGUGCAUCAAUAGGUGACAGAGAGCAGAGAGACUAUGUCUAUGCUCAGUGUUAUGACCUGUGACCAUCUGAAAGAUUAGUAGCCCUAAUACU